rnacentral:rRNA from 1 species
CUCAAAUGAAUUGACGGGGCCCGCACAAGCGGUGGAGCAUGUGGUUAAUUCGAAGCAACGCGAAGAACCUUACCAGGUCUUGACAUCCCUGACACCGAGAGAUCGGGCGUUCCCCUUCGGGGGACAGGGUGACAGGUGGUGCAUGGUUGUCGUCAGCUCGUGUCGUGAGAUGUUGGGUUAAGUCCCGCAACGAGCGCAACCCUCGACCUUAGUUGCCAGCAUUCAGUUGGGCACUCUAAGGUGACUGCCGGCUAAAAGUCGGAGGAAGGUGGGGAUGACGUCAAAUCAUCAUGCCCCUUAUGGCCUGGGCUACACACGUGCUACAAUGGGCGGUACAAAGGGUCGCGAACCCGCGAGGGGGAGCCAAUCCCAAAAAGCCGCUCUCAGUUCGGAUUGCAGGCUGCAACUCGCCUGCAUGAAGCCGGAAUCGCUAGUAAUCGCGGAUCAGCAUGCCGCGGUGAAUACGUUCCCGGGCCUU